rnacentral:rRNA from 1 species
GUUAAUCGAGAUUACUGGGCGUAAAGCGCAUGCAGGUGGUUUGUUAAGUCAGAUGUGAAAGCCCGGGGCUCAACCUCGGAAUUGCAUUUGAAACUGGCAGACUAGAGUACUGUAGAGGCUGGUAGAAUUUCAGGUGUAGCGGUGAAAUGCGUAGAGAUCUGAAGGCCUACCGGUGGCGAAGGCGGCCCCCUGGACAGAUACUGACACUCAGAUGCGAAAGCGUGGGGAGCAAACAGGAUUAGAUACCCUGGUAGUCCACGCCGUAAAGCGAUGUCUACUUGGAGGUUGUGGCCUUGAGCCGUGGCUUUCGGAGCUAACGCGUUAAGUAGACCGCCUGGGGAGGCAUGUCGCAAGAUUAAAACUCAAAUGAAUUGAC